AGAGUUUGAUCAUGGCUCAAGACGAACGCUGGCGGCGUGCUUAAACACAUGCAAGUCGAACGGUGACCUUGAGAGCUUGCUCUUGGGGGAGCAGUGGCGAACGGGUGAGUAACACGUGAGUAACCUGCCCCUGACUCUGGAAUAAGCGCUGGAAACGGCGUCUAAUACCGGAUACGAGAUGCCACCGCAUGGUGAGUGUCUGGAAAAGUUUUUCGGUCUGGGAUGGACUCGCGGCCUAUCAGCUUGUUGGUGAGAUAAUGGCUCACCAAGGCGAUGACGGGUAGCCGGCCUGAAAGGGCGACCGGCCACACUGGGACUGAGACACGGCCCAGACUCCUACGGGAGGCAGCAGUGGGGAAUAUUGCACAAUGGGCGAAAGCCUGAUGCAGCGACGCCGCGUGAGGGAUGACGGCCUUCGGGUUGUAAACCUCUUUCAGCAGGGAAGAAGCGCAAGUGACGGUACCUGCAGAAGAAGCACCGGCUAACUACGUGCCAGCAGCCGCGGUAAUACGUAGGGUGCGAGCGUUGUCCGGAAUUAUUGGGCGUAAAGAGCUUGUAGGCGGUUUGUCGCGUCUGCUGUGAAAAUCCGGGGCUCAACCCCGGACUUGCAGUGGGUACGGGCAGACUAGAGUGUGGUAGGGGAGACUGGAAUUCCUGGUGUAGCGGUGAAAUGCGCAGAUAUCAGGAGGAACACCGAUGGCGAAGGCAGGUCUCUGGGCCACUACUGACGCUGAGAAGCGAAAGCAUAGGGAGCGAACAGGAUUAGAUACCCUGGUAGUCCAUGCCGUAAACGUUGGGAACUAGGUGUGGGUCUCAUUCCACGAGAUCCGUGCCGCAGCUAACGCAUUAAGUUCCCCGCCUGGGGUGUACGGCCGCAAGGCUAAAAACUCAAAGGAAUUGACGG
rnacentral:rRNA from 1 species